UAGAAACUUCCUCCGUCCGGAAUUACUUGUCGCUCAAAUGGAUGUAUCUAGACAUAUUUUAGUGCUAGAUACAUCCGUUUGAGCGACAAGUAAUUCCAGGCGCAGGGAGUACAAC
rnacentral:pre_miRNA from 1 species